CAGAAGAUUGCAGGUUCGAGUCCUGCCGCGGUCGAAGGGAGGUUAUGAUUAACUUUUAGUUUAUUCCUCCCUCAGGAACGAAGUAUUGGGACAAUGUGAACGUAGUCGCCGCCGAUUCCCACCGCACUUCAAAGAUGUGGGAACGCCAAGAUCCGCGGAAGUAACCACGCCCAGCAAGUCCCUGCGAGAUUGCCCGCCUACGUGUCUCAGCGGAGGCACAUUUCUAAAAUGUACCAGGUCUCUCGCACCCCGACGCAGGUGCUUCAACAGCUCUCAGCGCUCGGUGGUUGGUGAACUGUGGUAAAGUGCACGCAGAAUAAGGUCUACGUGAUUAAGCACCGCCUGGGGGUUGGGGUCUGGAGGCCCAGCUGCACAGAUGAAAGGGAGGCUCAGAGACGUUUGGGACCAACCGAGAUCACACAGCUGAUUAGGAAUAAAAUUCAGGUCAAGCUGAAAGUCGGCCGCCACCGUCCAGCGUGGAUCCCAGGACACCGUGAACGGACUACAGAAGUUGACUUUCGCGUUUUUAAGGAGUGGGGUGCAGGGAAACAAUCCUCCGCCGGCCCUGCGGGCUGAUGCCGACCCUCACCUGCUCCCGCCACGUGGAGAGGUAGAGAGAAGCCCCGGGCCAAGCAGCAUUGAGCCCUGGUCCCUUCUAUUUAAAUAUGAAAUAUUUUGCAUACACUUUUCUAGAUGUACUUAAUAUACACAAUGUUUUAAUGUUUGUGAUUUUUUUGUUUUGCCAAAAAAAUACAAUCAAUCAGAAAUUCA
rnacentral:lncRNA from 1 species